rnacentral:rRNA from 1 species
UACGUAGGGGGCAAGCGUUGUCCGGAUUUACUGGGCGUAAAGAGCGUGUAGGCGGCCAAACAGGUCCGUUGUGAAAACUGGAGGCUCAACCUCCAGACGUCGACGGAAACCGUGUGGCUAGAGUCCGGAAGAGGAGAGUGGAAUUCCUGGUGUAGCGGUGAAAUGCGCAGAUAUCAGGAAGAACACCAAUGGCGAAAAGCAGCUCUCUGGGACGGUACUGACGCUGAGACGCGAAAGCGUGGGGAGCGAACAGG